GCAGAAAAGGUCACGCCCUUUUUUUUUAUCUUCCCCUCCCAUGGCGAUUCCUUCCUUUCCCACGAACACUUCUCCUCGUUGUUCGUCGAGCAUCCCCACUGAGCCAGAGCGCUAAACCUGAAGGCCUCUUCGCCGGUUAUCCAUGGCUACUGCUCGUGCGCCGCCGCCUCCGCCAGUGAUCGGGAAGGCCGGGAGCUACACCGUUUUCAUCACUCCCUCGUCGAUGGCGCCGCCAUCUGAGAGUCCGGGAUCGAACAUUGUGAGUCCCUCGCCGAGCUCUACUGCUAGAAGGCCUGAAACGGAAGCUCCUUCUCCUGCGAAGGCUCCUCCUCCGCCAGUUCAGGUCCCGCCUCCGCAGUUUGAGAAGACGACUGCAAUGUCCUCCGGAUCUGUGUUAGGGUUCUUCUGGGAGGCUGUCGCCAAAAUCCAAAAUGCGCAUUCAAGCUUGGACGAACACUUGGCGAAUUGGUUUGGCUUGGACCAUUCGAGGUACCAGUGGGCCUUGAAUGAUUACUAUGAAGUCAGUGGAAAGAAGGCAAUUAAGUUAAUUUGAGUAGGCAUUGAUAAGGGUAAGAUAUUAUGGAAAAGAUCCAAUAAGGAUAGUGAAAAAGUCACAAAACCAAAAGAGCUUGUUGGCAAAGGCCAAGCUGCCUGAUGGGUUGUAGUAGAGUGUAAGCGAUUCCAACAUUCACAUCCGGAAACAUACUGUAAAAUGAAAUGCUGUGAAGACAUCUCCAUGAACCGCCCAGCAUUUUUUUAUAUGAAAGGUUUCACGCCAUCAUGCCGAUCAGAGUUGCCCAAUAAGGAAGCUGGAGUAUAUUAGAUAAAUAAGAUUUCCUUUAGAUAUAUUAUCCUUGGACAAUUCUGUAUCUGAUGUGUAACAAUCAAAAUUGCUCUUUUUUCUUGUAUGGGACUGGAUCUAACUAUUCCUUUGUGGUAGUUUUAGUGUCUGAUGUUUUCGGGUAGAAUUGAAUUAUUUGUGCUUCGAUUAUUGAUUCUCUUGAAUUUCUAUUCAUUCGCACACUUACGUUGUGGAAUCUUGUCUCCUUAAGGUGCUUGUGGUGUGUUUUAUUUGUUUUA